UCUGACAGGCGCGAAGAAGAACUAGUGAAGACAGUUGUCCGAACUAUUUGAGAUGCUUACAGUCAAAUUUACAGGAACUUUCUCAGAUAUAUCGUAUUCUUGAACUUUAGAGGCGCCGAUACUCGCCAGGGCAUCGCCUAUUACCUCUACGACGGCCUCGUGGCUGCCGGAGUUUCUGUUUUCAAAGACAACACUGACCUUCCAUUGGAGAUGAGUGAUCACACGGUCUACAAUCUACAUUACGAUCCUCUUUCCAACUUAUGCUUCUAGCAAGUGGUGUCUUCGCAAGCUCGCAAAAGUGGAGUGCAAGGGCAGCAUGGGGGGCAAAAAAAAAAGGGACAGCAUUGGGGACACGUAGUCUUGCCCAUUUUCUACGCAGUGGACACCGAUUUGCGAGACCCAAAAGGGAAUUUCGGGGAUGUUUUCCAUUCAUGUGAGAAGCGUCUUUGUCUCAUGGGUGCCACUAGGGAAGGCCUGCGAGCGCUCAAAGAUGUCUCCAAAUUGGGAGGAUGAGAAGUUGUUAAACUCAGUUCUAGCUCUCAUGGAGAACUGAUCAGAGCAGUUGUUCGAGCUGUUUUGAGAGAGUUGCGGCAUCACUUUCAACUAGAUGUAUCCGCGCACUUGGUUGGAAUUGCUGAUUUGUGGGGGGUAGAUUUGGUUAUGAGAUGCUGAAGAUUCAACGCCUAACUUGUCAUGCGAUGAGUCCUUUAGCGGUUCAGCUAGGGGAUUUUCCUCGAAGCAUAAACUGGAAAAACACACGCAAUUGUACAGCGAUCCCUGGCUUAGUAUUGUAACUAUUAACUACUAUCUUCAUGUAAAGGGUUAACUUUCAA